rnacentral:rRNA from 1 species
UACAGAGGUCUCAAGCGUUGUUCGGAAUCAUUGGGCGUAAAGGGUGCGUAGGUGGCGCCGUAAGUCAGGUGUGAAAUUUCGGAGCUUAACUCCGAAACUGCAUUUGAUACUGCGGUGCUUGAGGACUGGAGAGGAGACUGGAAUUCACGGUGUAGCAGUGAAAUGCGUAGAUAUCGUGAGGAAGACCAGUGGCGAAGGCGGGUCUCUGGACAGUUCCUGACACUGAGGCACGAAG